AUUCCUUUUAGCUUCCUUUGAGAGAUGAAUACGGAUCCUGCUGACGGCUAAAGAUGCUCCGGUGUCGCCUGGGGUGCCGGGCACUAUGAUACUUGGAUGAUCUCUGUGUGUGCGUGUGUUUGUUUUGAGCAUUUGGGUCGGUCUUUUCUGAUGAGUGUACAGGAACAUUUGUUAUUUUACUGAUGGCAGAAUCAGAGUCUAAAGAACUAGUAGAGAAAGAUAAACUGUAUAGGAGAGGGCAGGGCUGGAACAGGAGACUCUUGUCUCUACACUCCCAAGCGUGUCCUAACCAAGUAAUCACUGACAAAUGCGCUAACUGGAUUUCUUGGAAGGAUUUUCUUAGAAGCAUCUUGCCAAAGUCUAAUUUUAGAGUUCAAGUGUUAUUAGCACUUACACAUUUCAAGGGGUUUGCAACUUCUCUAGGUGGGAAACAUAUUUCACUGCAGGGAACAGUCAAAUGUUCUUCACGGGGUGUUUGUUGUGCUUUAAUUUUCCCAGGGUCACUGCAAGGGAAUACAGCUGCGCUCCCAUGUUGAAGAUGACACUUACCAGGCACAGUGUCCUCAGAGGGAGAAAGACAUGAGUCAGAAUGAUCAUAUGACCCAGUAAUUCUGCCCUUAGGUACAUUCUCCAGGGGCCGAGAGCAGGGCCUUGAGUGGAUGUUUGUAACGUGGCUAUUCACAGCACCAGCGCUCACAGUAAUUACUGGGUGAAACAACCCAAGGAUCCGUAGGUGAAUGAACUCCAAAGAAAACACAGUAGGUCCGGACAAUGGCCCGUCACUCAGUCUCAAAGAGGAAGUUCUGCUUGACACAGACUGCCACACGAAUGGACCUUGAGGACAUCAUGCAAAGUGAAACAAGCCAAUCAUGAAGAGAACUAGGGCGUACGAUCCAAAGGCACCUAGUUUAGUGAAAUUCAUGGAGAUAGAAAGCAGAAUUCUGCUUGCCAGGAGCUGGGGGAGGGGGUGGAAAGUUCAUGUUAAAUGAGGACAGUUUUGGUCGGGGAGGACAAGAAAGUUCAGAGACCACUGCUGGUGAUGGUCGCCGAACGAUGUGAAUGUACUUAAUGCCACUGAACUCUCCACUUCAAAUGGUAAAACUGGGAAAGAUUUGUGUAAUACAUAGUUUAUCUCUCUCUCUCUCUCUCUCUCACACACACACACACACACUCACACCAGGAGACAGAAUGAUUAACCUUGAUCUGGAAGGAGAGAGAUGGAGAAGUCUUCUCAGAGGACAUGGCUUUGUCUUGAGAGAUGAAGAGAGCUGUGGUAGAUGAGACAGAAGAAAAAGGUAUUCAGGGCUAAGGGGAUAACGUCAGGACGUCAUAAGGCAAUUGCAAGGUCAUAUUCCAGGAAGAGCGACUUGUCCAGGCCCCUGGAUAUUUGCAGGUAAGUUACAGUAGAUGAAGCCACAAUGGCGGGGUGUGGGGACAGGUCUUGAAUGCCCCGCCUGCCCUGCAAGAUGUUUGAGAUUUAUUCUGCAGGCAGUGGGAAGCCACUGGAAUCCUUUAAGCGUGGAGACGUGACCAAGCUUGCAUUUUGGAAAGAUGAUGUUUGGCAGUUGUGUGAGGAAUGGAUUGGAGGGGAAAGACAUGAGAAGCAGGGACUCUGGUGGUAAGAUCAUUGCAAUAAGCCAAGGGAGGGAUCACGAGGGCCCAGCUGAGAGGAUGUGGGAGGGGAGGGGCCAUUCAAAAGUUUUGGGGAAACACUGAGAAGUGGGGAAGAGGAGGCUCGUGCUGUGGGGGUGGCUCCCAGGCUUCAGCGUUGGCUUCAUCCAUUCCCCAGCCAGGCUGACCCAUCCACAGGCUCUCCACGUCCCGGCUCAGAACAGUUGCUCAAGACCCACACAACCAUGAUCCUAGCCAGCGCUUGUUCUCGACUCCCGCACUCUACAAUCCCAUCUUCCACAGGAUCCUCAGUUGCCUCCCAGCUGGGUGGGCGUUCUGGAUCCUCUGAGCACUCCUUCGAAUCUCCUCCAGACUCCCCACCUCCCCUUUUCUUAUAACUCCAGCUGAGGGACUUGUUCCCUUCAUAAUUCCCCCACUCCUGUCUGUCCGUAGCUCUGUGCUCACUCCCUCUUCUUCACACACCAGCGUCUGGCCUCCAAGAUAGAGGGCCAGGGAGAGACUUGAAAUCUCCUUAGCACAGACUAGGGAUAUAACAGAGGCUGGAGGUCAGACGGUACUAGCAGCAAGGGGUGAGAGAGAGAAAGUGUGAGUGCCCUUGCAGUCUGCUGGGUUUCAGGCACCUGGGAGUCCACCUGCACCCGUUUAUUAAACGAGUCCUUGGAGUUACAACGUGCCCCAGACCAACCAUGUCAGUUUCCUGGCAUCCAAGAACCAGAGCUGCAGUCUUUCUAGCGAGGGUCUUUGGCUCAGCCCACUCCCCAGACGUAUCUUCAUUCUCCUCCUCUUUCUGCACAGUACCAGACCACUCUCUGAGCAAGCAGCCUGUCGGGACCAGCUCCCGGGAGCCCCAGCACUGCCAGGACCCCAUCUGCUAAUCCCCUGACUCAGCGGUUCUUGAGUUCUCAGCCUGGCCCCAGCGGGCCCACCAGAGCGGCACACAUGCUCAUCUAGCGACCGGGAAGUCUCAGAAACACGGUCACCUACCUGCACGGUGAUUCCCUCCUCCGGCUUAGGGGAGGAUCAUUCUCCGGGCAUCGUAAGAACGUGCACAGUUGAGUCAAAAAGCCCAAGAGAUGGCAAAGGCAAAGCCUGCGGCACAGUCUGAUGUCACCAGAGGAAGAUAUGGGAGCAGAUGGGGAAGGCGGUAGCUCCAUGGACUGCAAGAACCUCAGAUCACAGCCUCCCCAUGGAAGAACGAGUGAGCUGCUGAAAGAGGCAAUGCACCAAACAUGGGCACUGAAACUACUCUCAUCCAAGCCAAACUGUCAUUGGAAAUGGCUGCGUGUCUGCCCGAGGCUGCUUUUGCAUUUGGUGAUGGAGCUAGGCAAUGUCUGUGUUGCCAGGAAAGCGAGUGGCCCUCUCUGCCCCUGGCUCCUUGGCAGGUGGCCACAUUCAGAUCACAUGGGGCAUCUGGCAAAUCAAGCCCAAUUCCUUUGCAGUGGGGCUGCAGCAAGGAUUUCCAGUUAGUAAUUUCGUGGUGGCUCCUAUGAGUCACGGCGCCCUGAUUCUCCUGCAGAGGGGGAGGGCCUAAGUUUGUCCCAGAGAGGAUCGUCAUUACUCUGGAUUUGAGAAUUCUGCAGCCUUUGGAGGACAGAGAAUGAAGCUAACCAUGAGAAAGAGAAUCCUGAGCCUCGCCACUGCCACCAGCCACCCGGUCGCAAACUUUCAGCCAACUCGUAGUGCAAAUUUUUACCCUUCCUUUGUGCUUAAAUCUGGCUCUCUCCUUUUUAAAGCUGCUAGUAUUUCCAGUUUAAAAUUUGGAUUAAAAAGAAAUACAUCAUAAAAUGAAAUGACUUUUUUAUUAAAAACUGCUGUCGUCUUUUAAAUCCCACACCUCUUAUGGAUUUCUGAAUUUAUAGUUUUAUUUUCAAACCCAUAUGCAAGUACAUAUAAAAACAAUCAGUCGCUCCCCUUUAUUGAAUAUUUAAGUCAGGGUCUGGGCUAGCGCUUUACCAGCAUUGUUUUUAAUCUUCACAACAGUUCUGCCCCGGAGGUAUUUUGUUCCCGUUUUACAGAUAAGGAACCUGAGACUUGCCUGAUGUCGCACUGCUUUUAAAUGGUGGUACCAGCACUUGAGCCCAGUCCUGUUUAACUUCCAGUAUCAUGCUCUUAACUAUAGCUUAGACUGCUUUCGGGGCGCCUGGGUGGCUCAGUGUGUUAAGCCUCUGCAUUCGGCACAGGUCAUGAUCCCAGGGUCCUGGGAUGGAGUCCCACAUCGGGCUCUCUGCUCAGCAGGGAGCUUGCUUCCCCCUCCCCUCUCUGCCUGCCUCUCUGCCUACUUGUGAUCUCUGUCAAAUGAAUAAAUAAAAUCUUUUAAAAAAAAAAGAUUAGACUGC